CGGUAAUUCCAGCUCCGGGAGUUCACGGGAUUAUUGCUGAGACUAAAACGUCCGUAGUCGGAAUCAACGGCAGCGCGCGUGGACUCCGUCCUCCGUGACGGUUUCUUCGCGUGCUGCCACGACCGCUCGUGCGCUUCGGCGUGCGUCGGUCUGCGUCCGUGACCCAAACCAAGUGAUCAAAGCGAGCUCGUGCUCGAUGGUUUUGCAUGGAAUCGUGGAACGAAACCUGCGCUCGGCGUUCCAAGAGCGCAGGUAAUGAUCAACGGGAGCGGUCGGAGGCGAGGGAGCUGCAGGGCGAGGGGUAAAAUCUGAUGAGCCUUGCAAGACCACCGAAAGCGAAGGCACUCGUCUAGAGCGUCUCCGUCGAUAAAGGACCGAAGCCACCGUAGUCAACAGGAUUAGAUACCCCGGUAGCGGUGUGCCCCAAACUAUGCCAUCCGGCCUGACGGCGCCUCCACACACGUGGACGCUGUUAGGUCCAGGGAAGCCGGAGCGAUUUGGCUUCUGGGAGAUUACGGCUGCAAAGCUGAAACUUAAAGGAAUUGACGGAAGGGCACCAUCAGGUCUGGAUUAUGCGGCUCAAUUGGAUUCAACGCCCAACACCCCACCAGGACAGGAGCGCUCGAUGAAGCACCGGCUGAAUACCUCUGCCGAUGAGCGUGCAGGUGGUGCAUGGCCGCCGUAGUUCGUGAGGUGACUUGUCUGGUUAAUUCCGACAACGAACGCAACCGCAUUGCCCCACUAUGCGACGCGCGCCCGGCGUGCGCCGCAAACUGGGGCAGACUCGUCGGACGCGGGUUUCAAGCCCUAGCCGAGGGAAGCCACGGCGAUGGCAGGUCUGUGAUGCCCCUAGACGCCCUGGAUCGCACGCGUAAUACAAUGCCGGCCCAAGCGCGCACGUUCGCCCGAGAGGGUCUACAAACCGCACGAAAAGCCGGCUCAGUCGGGAUCGAGGAUUGCAACUUUCUCGUGAACGCGGAACACCUCGUAGUGGCGCGUCAUUAACGCGCCACGAAUAAGUCCCUGUCCUUUGUACACACCGCCCGUCGCUACAGCCAAUUACGUGUCGUCGUCAAGAGGCCGGACGGUUGCGUUUCGGCGCGACCGGAAAGUCCCUGAACGUCGGUGCGAGGAGGGUGUAAAAGUCGUAACAAGGUAACC
rnacentral:rRNA from 1 species